AGUGAACGCUGGCGGUAGGCCUAACACAUGCAAGUCGAACGGCAGCACAGUAAGAGCUUGCUCUUACGGGUGUCGAGUGGCGGACGGGUGAGGAAUACAUCGGAAUCUACUUUUUCGUGGGGGAUAACGUAGGGAAACUUACGCUAAUACCGCAUACGACCUACGGGUGAAAGCAGGGGAUCUUCGGACCUUGCGCGAUUGAAUGAGCCGAUGUCGGAUUAGCUAGUUGGCGGGGUAAAGGCCCACCAAGGCGACGAUCCGUAGCUGGUCUGAGAGGAUGAUCAGACACACUGGAACUGAGACACGGCCCAGACUCCUACGGGAGGCAGCAGUGGGGAAUAUUGGACAAUGGGCGCAAGCCUGAUCCAGCCAUACCGCGUGGGUGAAGAAGGCCUUCGGGUUGUAAAGCCCUUUUGUUGGGAAAGAAAAGCAGCAGGUUAAUACCCCGCUGUUCUGACGGUACCCAAAGAAUAAGCACCGGCUAACUUCGUG
rnacentral:rRNA from 1 species